UCCCUCUUAAGUGUUUUAAUACACUAUGAUAUUAUUGAUUCGCUAUGAUGAUUUUUCAGUCCUGCUUGGUGGAGUAUAUUAUUUUAUAUCAAGCUUUGGAAAUAUCUGUAAUGUUUAUGUAUGGAAAGAUAAUUUCCUUAAAAAAAUCUUGGAAAAUGGGCGAAGUGCCAAAAAUGAAAGUUUUUGUAUCGGUUAUGCCACUGGCACCCAAACACCACAGCAACCCUAGCCUGAAAUAAAUCCCAUUGUUGCUAUAUAGUUGACCCACUUCUAUAAUUAGCCUUACAUCAUUGCUUUACUGAGGGCUUACUUUAGAAUGCAGCAGUUCCUUAAGACACCACAAAUGUAAAUGGUAAAAUAUUCACCAAGACGUCUACAAAUGCCAUGAUUGUGUUGGUUUCUUUUUAAAAUCAGGCUGCAAUUCUUUGAAAAUUGAGAUCACUGAAAGUGCGUGUUCUUUCUUUGAAAUUGUCUGGUUACAUUCAUUUUCUUUGAUAUUAUUUGCAUGCAUGUACACAGGAAGAGGGAGGUGAAUUCGCUCUGACAGUGCGUGGAGAUCCAGUUGUUGGCACAGAAAAGGUGUAACGCCACACCAAUAUACAGCUGCUUUAUUCAGCAGGAGUGAACAGAGACAAAAAGGUGUGAAUAUUUUACAACUUCUCAUUAAAGGAAUCAAGAGGCACGGCGUAACUGAAUGACAGAGCAGGCUGGAUGGGAGAGUAGCCUGCUCUGCUCCGAGAUAUUUUCUAACAGGCACAAUCUGUUUAGAUAUGUGGGACUGAAUCCAAGCGUCCUGACCCAAAGGUAGGGAAUGGAGCAAUAGAUGUCUCCUUUGAACAAUAAUUUAAAAGAACCCAAAUGCU